rnacentral:sRNA from 1 species
GACGCUUCUAUUAGUGAAAUAACUUCAACCCUAAUUUGGGGAAAGAGUUGAUAUCUAGACUCAUAAGUAAUGACGAAAACGGAAAAAUAGUUAGUGGUUUUUUUUUUUGACAACGGAACCAAUUGGUAACAAAUGUUAUUUUUGGUUAUAGAGAUUUUUGUUGUAAAGACUUUAACUGUUGAAACUUUGGCUGUAAAGAUUUUAACUGUAAAAUAUAAGUUUAAUCUACAGAUACAUUUUUGCAGUUAUUUUGUGAAAUAAAUCCUGAAGUUGGAACUUAUUUACAAUGGCUGCCACUGGAUUUUAAUUCUUUGUUUUUUUUUUAAUUGAUGGUUUAAAUUUUUUUACGGCAAUUAAUUGUGUAACAAACCAAAAAGAUUCGAAAUAUAUGGAAAUCACUUAUGUCACGCAAAACAUAAUAAAUUAUGUUCUCCUUAUCUCACCUACAAUAUUCACUAAAUCUUAAAACAAC